AGAAAAUUUGUGAAUGUGCUGGUCAUGCUCGUGGUCAGGGUGGUGACCAUGGUACUGAAUGUAGAUGUAGCCAUGGUCAAGUUAGAAGUAGAGAUGUUCACAACCAAGGAACAUGUUUCUGGACUUUGAGUCACCAGGGACAUUCUAACAUUCAAAUUCAACUACCAUUGGCCAAAGAAAACAUUGAGAGUGAUGAUAAUGAUGACAAAGUCGAGGUUAUAAAUGCAAAGAGUAAUUCUAAAAUUGCUGAAAAUGUUUCAGCUGCUAUCACAAAUGAAGAGGAGGAUAUCUUUGGUGAUUUGGAUGAUCUCAAUUUUAAGCAUAAGAUACCAACUCCAUCCAUCUUUGAUUAUGAUUUUGAAAACCAUUGGAACAUCAACAGUUCGUAUGAGAGUAAACAUGUUUCCGAAGAUGGUGGGUCAAGUUCGUACUAUUAUUUAUGAACAUCAAC